ACCUGACUGGUUCAAUCGGUAGAACAUGGGACUCUUGAUCUCAAGGUCAUGAGUUUAAGCCCCAUGUUGGGCA
rnacentral:tRNA from 1 species